UACGUAGGUGUCAAGCGUUGUCCGGAUUUAUUGGGCGUAAAGCGCCCGCAGGCGGCUUGCCAAGUUCGAUGUGAAAUCCCCGGGCUCAACCCGGGAACUGCGUCCGAGACUGGGAGGCUUGAAUCCGGGAGAGGGAUGCGGAAUUCCAGGUGUAGCGGUGAAAUGCGUAGAUAUCUGGAGGAACACCGGUGGCGAAGGCGGCAUCCUGGACCGGCAUUGACGCUGAGGCGCGAAAGCCAGGGGAGCAAACGGG
rnacentral:rRNA from 1 species